ACAGGGCACCCUUGCAGGGGAAACGUGAUGGUCAGCAGGACCUCACGAGACAGAGGCCGGCUUCCCGUUGGCCUCUCCAGGAAGCAGGCACCGUCUGCCUUUCCCAGCCCUGACGCUGCAGCUGUCUUGUCUGGGGCCGGGAGUUUGGAAGCCUCUGGUGAGCCAGCAGCUCCCAGGAGGCUACAGGGUCACAGCAGGGGAUACCUCCACAGUCAUCGGCCCCCUCCACCCCUCCCCUCUGCAGCCGUGGAAAUACAGGCACACAGAUUCAGUCUCUUCACCCAACCUACUUAGGAUGCAACCCAGGCACCCUCUCGGACCAUUUCACACGCGUUUAUCACCUCCGGGAAUGCUCACCCGUCGUUCCAGCCCCCCAUCCUCGCACCCUGCCCAGCACAUGGUAGGAUCUGGACCCCAGUUGAAAUCUAAGCACGGGAAGCGGGGAGAGCUCCGCAGAGACCAGAAUGCUGAUGUGACAACUGGAGCUUCAGCAACUCUUUUGGCUCAUGAGGCACCUGUGAGACAGGAAGGCUAAGAGUAGAAGCAGAGAAAAAGAGGAGGAGCCCAGGUCCGUGGUCACCCUGUGGAGCUACCCAGGUAUCCCAGGACCUUGAACCUCUAGAAUUUUUUUUUUUAACGUGAAAGAGAAAUUUCCAUUGUGUUUGUUGCAGCUUCUGUCACUCACACAGUUCUUAUCUGUUACGCAUGUCAUAAAGGAUCACGUAAGCACCAA